AGAGCGAACGCUGGCGGCAUGCUUAACACAUGCAAGUCGCACGGGCAGGGGCGAACUCUGUCAGUGGCGGACGGGUGAGUAACGCGUAGGUAUCUAUCUCUGGGUGGGGGAUAACCGUGGGAAACUACGGCUAAUACCGCAUGACACCUGAGGGUCAAAGGCGCGAGCCGCCUGGAGAGGAGCCUGCGUUCGAUUAGCUAGUUGGUGGGGUAAAGGCCUACCAAGGCGACGAUCGAUAGCUGGUCUGAGAGGAUGAUCAGCCACAUUGGGACUGAGACACGGCCCAAACUCCUACGGGAGGCAGCAGUGGGGAAUAUUGGACAAUGGGCGCAAGCCUGAUCCAGCAAUGCCGCGUGGUGAAGAAGGUUUUCGGAUUGUAAAGCCCUUUUGGCGGGGACGAUGAUGACGGUACCCGCAGAAUAAGCCCCGGCUAACUUCGUGCCAGCAGCCGC
rnacentral:rRNA from 1 species